rnacentral:rRNA from 1 species
UACGUAGGGUGCGAGCGUUGUCCGGAAUUAUUGGGCGUAAAGAGCUCGUAGGCGGUGUGUCACGUCGGCCGUGAAAACCCUGCAGCUUAACUGUGGGCGUGCGGUCGAUACGGGCAUCACUGGAGUUCGGCAGGGGAGACUGGAAUUCCUGGUGUAGCGGUGAAAUGCGCAGAUAUCGGAAGGAACAUCAGUGGCGAAAGCGGGUCUCUGGGCCGUAACUGACGCUGAGGAGCGAAAGCGUGGGGAGCGAACAGG